rnacentral:rRNA from 1 species
CUGGAUUUAUUCAGUGGAAAGUGGCGGACGAGCGAGUAAUACAUAAGAACUUACCCCGUACUCAGGGAUAACUGCCCGAAAGGGUAGCUAACACCGGAUACCCUCGCAAGAGGAAAGCUCAGGCGGUAUGGGAGAGGCUUGUGGUCUAUCAGUUUGUUGGUGAGGUAAAGGCUCACCAAGACUAUGACGGAUACCUGGUGUGAGAGCACGACCAGGCGCGAUGGGACUGAGACACGGCCCAUACUCC